UGACAUCACAAUCACGAGUAACAAUGAAUGUUGAUAGAAAACUGAAAGGCAGAUGGAAUUCAUACAAACCCAAAGGUCCAGCACCACCCAAGGACGGGGUUCAGAUCAUGACUGAUAAACAAGGAGGGAGGAACCAGGAAGUAAUGAGCCAAAAUCGAUGUCAAAACACCGAGAACAGCUGGAGUGAAAGGAGCAAGCUUCACUAUCCUGCCACCCCCACUACUUCCUGGGCACCCUGGUUCUACUGUGAGAUUUUUCGCCUCACUUAAAAACGACUGGCUUACAGAAUCAGACACAAAUGUCCCAGCGCACUGUUGCCGCAAAAUUGCUUACGGUUUCAUUUUACCAAGGCUUUUGAUGCAGCCUGUUGUAAAUAGGCAAAUACCCAAGUGAAUUGAUGUACCCACAGAAGACCUCUGCGCAGCCCCCAGGAUAUGUGUAUCCCUGGUUGAGCAACACAGACCUAAAUAGAUGGAUGAUAUAAGUCUGACAGAUCUCGGAGUAGCUAAUAAGAUCAUAAGCUAUGCCAAUAUUCUCCUGGCAGAGAGACGGCAAGUGAAAGCCAAUCCAAAGAUGGCAGCUCCCUUUUCUAUUUUUGCUAUUCUUUCUCUUCCCUUUUGUUUGUGUUUGUCUUGUUUUGUGUUUAAAGAAACUGACUCAGACGUUAACAGCAACAGCAGCUCUAGCCUCACCUGCCUUUGUUUUUUCCCCCUGAAAAAAUGAGUUAUUAUGAUCAUUAAUAUCACCUAAAAAGCUGUCAAAGAGAAGGUUUUCCUUAUAAAAACUCUAAUUAUAGCUCAAGGGAAAGGGAGGAAGGGAUAUCAGUUAAAUGAAAGCCUUAAGUAAUACAAAUAUAUUCAAUGCUUCAAUUGAUUGUCUUACUGUAUUUCUAAUUAUGUAUAGAUUUUAGAACAGUGUUUCCCAAUUUUAUUUGGCCACGGAACCCUUUUAAACUCGAAAGAAUUUUGUGGAACCCCUCAUAACAGUCUUAUAU